rnacentral:snoRNA from 1 species
GGCCUCCCAGUGCUUGCCACAGGCCGUGUUCUCACACUAGCUGCACAGACGGAGACGGCAGAGUGAAGCUACCCCAUAUGCAUCCCAGCCCAGGCCCUGUGCCUGGUCUGUAUUGUCAAUGGGGGAACAUGG